rnacentral:rRNA from 1 species
GACGAACGCUGGCGGCGCGCCUAACACAUGCAAGUCGAACGAGAGAGAAGGAGCUUGCUUCUUCGAUCGAGUGGCGAACGGGUGAGUAACGCGUGAGGAACCUGCCUCAAAGAGGGGGACAACAGUUGGAAACGACUGCUAAUACCGCAUAAGCCCACAGGUCGGCAUCGACCAGAGGGAAAAGGAGUAAUCCGCUUUGAGAUGGCCUCGCGUCCGAUUAGCUAGUUGGUGAGGUAAUGGCCCACCAAGGCGACGAUCGGUAGCCGGACUGAGAGGUUGAACGGCCACAUUGGGACUGAGACACGGCCCAGACUCCUACGGGAGGCAGCAGUGGGGAAUAUUGCACAAUGGGGGAAACCCUGAUGCAGCGACGCCGCGUGGAGGAAGAAGGUCUUCGGAUUGUAAACUCCUGUUGUUGAGGAAGAUAAUGACGGU